GACGAACGCUGGCGGCGUGCUUAACACAUGCAAGUCGAACGGACAGGCCCUGCUUUUGUGGGGUGCUCGAGUGGCGAACGGGUGAGUAACACGUGAGUAACCUGCCCUUGACUUUGGGAUAACUUCAGGAAACUGGGGCUAAUACCGGAUAGGAGCUCCUGCUGCAUGGUGGGGGUUGGAAAGUUUCGGCGGUUGGGGCUGGACUCGCGGCUUAUCAGCUUGUUGGUGGGGUAGUGGCUUACCAAGGCUUUGACGGGUAGCCGGCCUGAGAGGGUGACCGGGCACAUGGGGACUGAGAGACGGCCCAGAAUCCUACGGGAGGCAGCAGGGGGGAAUAUGGCACAAUGGGCGGAAGCCUGAUGCAGAAACGCCGCGUGCGGGAUGACGGCCUUCGGGUGGUAAACCGCUUUCGCCUGUGACGAAGAGGGAGUGACGGUAAUGGGUAAAGAAGCACCGGCUAACUACGUG
rnacentral:rRNA from 1 species